rnacentral:lncRNA from 1 species
AAUGAAAGUGGUUAUGUAUUCGGAAUGAAGACCUUGAGGGGAACACAGGAGUAAUUUUGGGGAAAUUUGGGCUCAUUUAUGUUUUUGACUGGAACUUUGAUUUAACAUUCGAAGAACUCGGUUUCAAUUAUAGCGAAAUGGGUUGGAUAUUUGAGAGGAGGAGGUUGAGGAGAUCCUAAGGUGUUAUUUUGGUCCAGAUUAGAGAUGGUGGCGCCAUUAAUGUCGGUGGUUAAUUAGGGCGGUGGUCUCUAGGGUUUCCAGAGAAGGGGGUGAGUGAGGGAGACGAGACGAGGGUAUGGGGUGAUACUGAC